AUGGCUCAGGGAAGAGGCAGUGCGGCGCAGGGCUUCACCCUCGGCUUCCUCGUGCUGUGCCUCCUCCUCGGCGCCGACACCGCCGGCGCCGCCACCUACAACGUCGACUGGUCGUUCGCCGCCGGCAGCUGGCCCAGCGGCAAGAGCUUCCGCGCAGGGGACGUCCUCGUGUUCAGCUACAACCCGGCCGUGCACAACGUGGUGGCGGUGGACGCCGGCGGCUACAACAGCUGCCGGGGCUCCGGCGCGACGCACACCUACACCUCGGGGAGCGACCGCGUGACGCUCGUCCCUGGGACGAACUACUUCAUCUGCAGCCUCAGCGGCCACUGCGGGCUCGGGAUGAAGAUGGCCGUCACUGCAAACUGA
rnacentral:rRNA from 1 species